rnacentral:lncRNA from 1 species
UUUUGAUUACAUUUCCCUUUCCCUGAUGUUAACUGUGGAAUAUCCUCCUCUUCCUUUUUUUUUUUUUUGUUUUUUGUUUUUUUUUUUGGUUUGGUUUGAGACAGGAUUUCUCCGUAUAACAAACCCUGGUAGUCUUGGACUCUAGAUAGGCUGUCUUCAAACUCAGAGAUCUGCUUGCCUCUGCCUCCUGAGUGCUGACAGUAAAGGUGUGCGCCACAAUGCCUGGCUUGUUCAUAUAUUUUCCUUAGAGAAAUUAUUUUUAGGGUUUUGUUUUGGAGACAGGGCUUCAUAGAGCUAAUGUUAGUCUCUGUGGCCAACAAUGACCCUGAGUGUCUGUUCCUCCUGCCUCCUUCCUGAGUCUAUAUUGUGUCUGCUAAGUGCUGGGGUUAGUACCCAGGGGCUGCUGUAUACUAGACACCCUCAAACCCACCCCACUCUCUCCCUCUUUUGGGGGGGGUAUGGUGGAGGAGGGAAGAGAGGGCCUCAUUACCUAGACCAGGUGGAUCUGCCUGCCUCUGCCUCCCUUGGGAGCAUGCCACCACACCCUGCCUCCAGGACUGUUUGCAUUUCUGAAACUGUUUUGAAAAGCAGGGUUAAGAGCUAUGGAGCUAAAUAUUCCAGAUUCCUGGGUGUGCCUGGCUGGGUGGGUAGGUAAAGGUCAGUACUUGGAAUUUUCACUCCUACCUGGUGGGCUCGAUGCGUCCUGCUGGCCUCUUUUGUGUGGGUUUUUAGACCUUGGCUUAAACUGUCCUUGCAUUUAGAGUGAUUCUCCCUUUGCCUCUCCAGCAGGCCGCCUUACAGCCCACUUUUGGUAUGAACUUCUCUUCUCACUAUGUAUGCAUCAUCCCUGGUCGGCCUGGAACUUGAUGUGUAGACCAGGCUAGCCUUGAAUUCAGAGAUCCACCUGCCUCUCCAGUGUUAGGAUUAAAGACCAGCACCACUGGACCACGUCAUUAUUAGUCUAGGAACUUUUGUGCUGCAAAGCCAGUGUAGACUUUCCUUCUUCCAGACUGCUGAGGGACACAUGUGAAAGUGUCCCUAACCCUAGGCCACAGCCUGUUGUUGGGAGUUUUAGUUUUUGUGUUCUGAGACACAGUCUCCUUGUGCAGCCCACAUUGACCUUGAGAUUCUUGUGCCUCAGCCUUUUCUAAAUUAACAAAUGAAUUAAUUUGUGAGACAAAAUGUAGGAUUUUUUUGUUUGUUUGCUUUUGUUGUUUUGGGCUUUUUGAGACAGGGUUUCUCUGUGUGGUCUUGGCUGCCCUUGAACUUGCUCGGUAGAUUAGGCUGCCCUGGAACUCACAGAAAUCUGUCUGUUUAAAUUCUUUGCCUCCUUUGCCUCCCCAUGCUGGAAUUAAAGUCCUGUGCCACUACCACCAGUUAUAUUCUUUAAAAGAAAGUUAGGGAAAAUAGGUGGUGGGGUGAAGGUCCUGGAGAGAUGGCUCAGUGGUUAAGAGAGCACUAGCUGCCUUUCCAAAGGACUUGGGUUCGAGUCCCAGCACCCACAUGGCAACUCUUAACUGCCUGUAUCUCCAGUUCCAGGGGACCUGAUACCCUCACACAGUGCAUGCAGGCAAAGUACAAAUGUACACGAGAUAAAGUUAGGCUGGCUCUUGAUAGAGUGUUGUAUGCAGGAGGAAGCCCUGUGUUUUGUCCCUGCUGCAUAAACAGGACAUACAUUGUAAGACUCCAGGGAGCCCCAGAGUGAGCCAUGUUUGGAGCUGGGAUCAAAGCAAAAAACAAGAGGAAUUUAUUGUUCCAGUGCACAGGCCUUGUCCCAGACCCAAAGGAGAGGCAGUGGCCCCCCUGGCACCUGUUCUUCAUGUUUUUAUAUGGUUUCCAGGAGCAGAAUAGAGCAUCAGUAACUAGACACAAUAUGAUUGGCGGAACAGUGCACCCUUUAAAUGGAUUGGUCUUUAGGGAAUAAGGUGACAAGGACUUCAGGUCAGUUCUCUCCCUGUGGUCUGAGGAAUGUUAAUCAGCCCCUCCCUUCUGGAGGGGCUUGUGUUCCUUGACCUUCCCAAAGUUCCCGAGCUGACCUGUUCAAUAUCUUUAAUCCCAGCUCUGGAGGCAGAGGCAAAUUGAUUGCUAGAAACGCAAGGUCAGCCAGGUCUUUGUAGGACAGUCAGGACAACAGGGACUAUAGAGACCCCGUCACAACAAAAACAGUGAUCUGUGAGGAUACAGCAUUCGUAUCCUGUAAGUUAGAAGGCAUUGGAUGGCAUUUAUUCUUCAACCAUGCAGUCAGCAUAUAUUGUCCCACUGAGCCUAAGUCCUAUUUUCUGUCUCUUUAUUUGAUAAUCAAGGAUAGGUAGACAACUUAGCUUCGUUUGUUUCUUUUCAGUUUGAAAGCUAAUGGUACCAGGAAGGGCCUCUUCAGGCCUGGAAGAGGCUGGCCCCUGUGUGGCAGUCUUUGCCACUUUGCUGAGAAAGAGCUGACUUCUUUGUUCCAGAGGUCUUUUAAACACUAUUUUAGGAGUACAUUUGCCAUGAGGAAUUUUUCUGUCUAGAUUGUCCCAAGGAGUCGAAACCUUUAGCUUAAAGAUCUUGCUUUAAUGCUGUAGCGUGCAGUGGCAUCUUGACUCUUAGAUGAAAAAGGUAAAUGGAGGAGUUCCGAUACCUUUGGAAGAGUAGCCUAUGCUCAGAGGCCUAGGAAAGCUGUCUUGCAAAACUGCAUGUCUAGGAGAAUUCUUGAGGAGAUGGCUCAGUGGUUAAGACCUUUGGCUGCUCUUGCAGAGGACCUGGGUUCACUUGGUUCUAAGCAUCCACAUGGUAAUUCAGUUACAGGAGAUCUGAUGCCGUUUUACAGCCUCCCAGGGCUCCUGCAUGUACACAGUGCACACAAAGCUUGGAGAAGCAGUUAGAGGGCCUUUGCUGUAAGUUCUUCUCUGCAUAAAGCCUUCUGUGGUUACUUGUUACUCCGGGGUAGGUCUACCCUCUCGUUGGGGGGCUUGUCCUACCUGCUGUGGCCUCUUUAGCUUUCCUGUUUGGUGUGCUGGACGGUUUUCCUAGCCGAAUCUCUCCACUUGCUGUCUGUCUGUCGUCUGCUGCAAUGAGUCUGUUUCUGCUUGUUCUUGGAGACUCCCGGUGGGGUAGCACUUUCCCCUCUGUGAGGCCUCUGCUGCAGUGCUCUGUGUCUACUGUUACCAUAACGCUUGUUUAUCUGACGCUUGUGCUUACCAGUUUGUCAACCAGUUCUGAGCCUUCUGUUUGUUUUUUUGAGACAGGCUAACCUCAAACACAACAAUCCACUCUGUCUCUGUCUCUGUCUCUGUCUCUGUCUCUCUCUCUCUCUCUCUCUCUCUCUCUCUCUCUCUCUCUCUUUCUUUUUUCCACUGUCUCUUGAGUGCUAGGAUUAAAGGCAUGUGCCACCACCACCCUGGUUUGGGCCAUUCUUUAACAACUGGACCUUUUGUCUUUCAUCAAAGGCAUACCUGGUCUGUACUUCCUAGUCCGGCAUCUCUCUGUGACAGAAUAUAUGAACCUGCAAGCCUUGUUGUUGUGCUACGGUGACAGGGUUAAUUAUACAUAAUCACACUGCUUACCUUUACUCCGGUGCCUUGUGACAUGUCUGGAAGGCCAGAUGCUGCCAGCAGAUAUGUCAGUAGCAAAAUGAAACCUUUGUGACAGCAUCACUCUGUAUAUAAACUACCCAAAUGGAUCUUCAACACAGGGGCCCUUAAGCCAGCGCCACUUCCAUAGCUGUCACCAUGGUCUAUUACUCCCACUAAAUGAGCUUAAAACCAGCAUGAAGGGCACAUAGGAUGGCUUAGCAGGUCCUGUC